rnacentral:rRNA from 1 species
CCUACGGGAGGCAGCAGUGGGGAAUUGUUCGCAAUGGGCGAAAGCCUGACGACGCAACGCCGCGUGGAGGAUGAAGAUUUUCGGAUCGUAAACUCCUUUCGAUCGAGACGAAUAGCCUUUUGGUUAAUAGCCGAAAGGAAUGACGGUACCGAGAGAAGAAGCCCCGGCUAACUCCGUGCCAGCAGCCGCGGUAAUACGGGGGGGCAAGCGCUGUUCGGAAUUACUGGGCGUAAAGGGCUCGUAGGUGGCCAACUAAGUCAUACGUGAAAUCCCUCGGCUUAACCGGGGAACUGCGUCUGAUACUGGAUGGCUUGAGUUUGGGAGAGGGAUGCGGAAUUCCAGGUGUAGCGGUGAAAUGCGUAGAUAUCUGGAGGAACACCGGUUGGCGAAGGCGGCAUCCUGGACCAAUACUGACGCUGAGGAGCGAAAGCCAGGGGAGCAAACGGGAUUAGAUACCCCGGUAGUCCUGGCCCUAAACGAUGAAUGCCUUGGUGUGGGCGGUAGUCGAUCCUCGCGUCGCGACGACUACGACAUAAGACAUCCGUCCGUGGGAGGUACGGUCGCGAAGGACGUGAACGUACAAAGUAGAAGUUAGACGGCGUGAGACGUGCCGACGACGACGACGAGGGAGUUAGG